AGAAAGAUAAAGCCUGGAUUUUCAUAACCAACGUUUGACUGUUUGUUUUAUAUAAAAUUUUGUUAUAAUUGGUAUUUUUAUUAUUGUUAAAUGAUAAAACAUGAUUAAUACUUUAUGCGUGACUUGUCUUUUUAAUUAUUUUUAUAAAUUUUUUAAAUAAGACAGUUAAACGUUGAACAUAAAAACUUGAAAUGGAUACCGACAGU
rnacentral:pre_miRNA from 1 species